GUUUGGAACUAAUCCUGGGGUGGCUUGAGGACUCUCUCUUCCUAAACCAACUUUGGUUUCCUUUUUGGAACAAGAUAAUGAAUGAGCCUUGGCUUGUUGAGAAGGGGUCAUCAAAAGGCCUAUACUCAGAUAUGAAAUCCCAAUGCAACAACAAAGGACUUAUCAUCAAAGGAUGACAAUUAUGAAAUAAAAUUAUCUCAAAGGAAGAUAAUGGAAAGAAUUACAAGCCAUGACUUUGGAUAUUCCAUUUUUCAAGACGAUUGGAAGUAUAAUCACCAUUUUCAGAUAGAACAGAGAAAUUAAGAAGAAUAUCUUAAAGCUGUGACAGUCACCCAUGAAAAUAUGCAAAGUCUCAGUCAACAAAUAUCCUAUAGCCUACAUCAGAUAUAUCAUACUAGGCAAAAACCCUAUGAAUUCAGAGAAUGUGGGAAAGUCUUUAAUUACCACUCACUGCUAAUUCACCUUGGGAGAAAUCACACCGAAGAAAAAUGCUAUGAAUGUACGGAUCGUGGAAAGACUCAGCAGUUUCUCAAAACUUACAGACAUUACAGACUUCAUAAUGGAGAAAACUCUAUGACUGUAAUGAGUGUUGGAAAGCUCUCCACCACCCCUCAAAUCUCAUUUGACAUCACAGAAUUCAUACUGGAGAAAGACCCGAUGAAUGUAAGGAAUGUGGAAAGGCUUUUGGUCGUGGCUCACACCUCACUCUACACCAGAGAAUUCAUACUGGAGAGAAACCCUAGGAAUGCAAAGAAUGUAGAAAAGCUUUCAGUUACCACUCAUCCCUCCUUUGAUAUGAAAAAAAACAUACUAAAGAAAAACCGCUAUGAAUAUAAAGACUGUGGGAAGGCUUUUAGCAACAAUUAAAUUCUUAAGGGACAUCAAAGAGUCUACAGUGGAGAAAGACCCUAUGAAUGUGGGGAACGUGGGAAAGCCUUCCAUCACCACUCAAUCCUUACUCGACAUCAGAGAAUUCACACUGGAGAAAGACCCUAUGAAUGUAACAAUUGUAAUAAAGCCUUCCGUUAUCAUUCACAUCUUAUUGGACAUCAAAAAAUUCAUUCCAGAGGGGCGCCUGAGUGGCUCUAUGGGUUAAGCCGCUGCCUUCGGCUCG